GACCUCGGAUCAGGUAGGAAUACCCGCUGAACUUAAGCAUAUCAAUAAGCGGAGGAAAAGAAACCAACAGGGAUUGCCCUAGUAACGGCGAGUGAAGCGGCAACAGCUCAAAUUUGAAAUCUGGCCCUCGGGUCCGAGUUGUAAUUUGUAGAGGAUGCUUUUGGCGCGGUGCCUUCCGAGUUCCCUGGAACGGGACGCCUUAGAGGGUGAGAGCCCCGUACGGUUGGACACCAAGCCUCUGUAAAGCUCCUUCGACGAGUCGAGUAGUUUGGGAAUGCUGCUCUAAAUGGGAGGUAAAUUUCUUCUAAAGCUAAAUAUUGGCCAGAGACCGAUAGCGCACAAGUAGAGUGAUCGAAAGAUGAAAAGCACUUUGAAAAGAGGGUUAAAUAGCACGUGAAAUUGUUGAAAGGGAAGCGUUUGCGACCAGACUUUUUCCUAGCGGAUCAUCCGGUGGUUCUCACCGGUGCACUUU
rnacentral:rRNA from 1 species